rnacentral:rRNA from 1 species
UAUUUUAAAUUGUAAAUUUUUAAUACUUGAAUACUAUGAACAGUUGUUUAAAACUCAAAGAACUUGGCGGUAUCAUAGACUACUUAGGGGAACCUGUUUUUGAAUCGAUGAUCCUCGUAUUACCUUACCUUUUUUUGCGUUCAGUUUGUAUACCGUCGUCUUCAGUUAACGUCAGAGAUUAAAAUAGUUGUCGUUGUAAAAUUUUGUUUAUGAUGUCAGAUCAAGGUGCAGCUUAUAGAUUGGUUAAUAUGGGUUACAAUUAUUUAUUUAUAAUAUGAAUGGUUUUUUGAAAUUAUUAUUUGAAGGAGGACUUAAAAGUAAUUUAAUUUAGAUAUAUUUAAUGAAUAAAGCUCUUUGAUGUGUACA